AUUGAACGCUGGCGGCAUGCCUAACACAUGCAAGUCGAGCGAGCGGCGGACGGGUGAGUAAUGUCUGGGAAACUGCCUGAUGGAGUGGGCUAACUACUGGAAACGGUAGCUAAUACCGCAUACCAUCAGAUGUGCCCAGAUGGGCUUAGCUAGUCGGUGGGGUAACGGCUCACCUAGGCGACGAUCCCUAGCUGGUCUGAGAGGAUGACCAGCCACACUGGAACUGAGACACGGGCGAGACGCCUACGGGAGGCAGCAGUGGGGAAUAUGGCACAAUGGGCGCAAGGCUGAUACAGCCAUGCCGCGUGUGUGAAGAAGGGCUGCGGGUUGUAAAGCACUUUCAGCGGGGAGGGGUUACGCGCAGAAGAAGCACCGGCUAACUCCGUGCCAGCAGCCGCGGUAAUAC
rnacentral:rRNA from 1 species